CACGUAGGGUGCGAGCGUUGCCCGGAUUUAUUGGGCGUAAAGGGCGCGUAGGCGGCCACGCACGUCCGUUGUGAAAUCGCCCGGCUCAACUGGGCGGGGUCAGCGGAUACGGUGUGGCUCGAGCAAGCUAGGGGGCAAUGGAAUUCCCGGUGUAGUGGUGGAAUGCGUAGAUAUCGGGAGGAACACCAGUGGCGAAGGCGGUUGCCUGGAGCUUUGCUGACGCUGAGGCGCGAAAGCGUGGGGAGCGAUCCGG
rnacentral:rRNA from 1 species